UUGGAGGGCAAGUCUGGUGCCAGCAGCCGCGGUAAUUCCAGCUCCAAUAGCGUAUAUUAAAGUUGUUGCAGUUAAAAAGCUCGUAGUUGAAUUUUAGGCCCGGUUGGACGGUCUGCCUUUGGGUUUGUACUGUCCUGACUGGGCCUUACCUUCUGGUGAGCUGUCGUGUUGUUUACUCAGCGCGGCAGGGAACCAGGACUUUUACUUUGAAAAAAUUAGAGUGUUUAAAGCAGGCAUUCGCUUGAAUACAUUAGCAUGGAAUAAUAGAAUAGGACUUUGGUUCUAUUUUGUUGGUUUCUAGGACCGAAGUAAUGAUUAAUAGGGAUAGUUGGGGGCAUUAGUAUUUAAUUGUCAGAGGUGAAAUUCUUGGAUUUAUGAAAGACUAACUUCUGCGAAAGCAUUUGCCAAGGAUGUUUUCAUUAAUCAAGAACGAAAGUUAGGGGAUCGAAGACGAUCAGAUACCGUCGUAGUCUUAACCAUAAACUAUGCCGACUAGGGAUCAGACAAGGAUAUUUUGACUUGUUCGGCACCUUACGGGAAAC
rnacentral:rRNA from 1 species